rnacentral:rRNA from 1 species
UACGUAGGGGGCAAGCGUUGUCCGGAUUUAUUGGGCGUAAAGAGCGUGUAGGCGGUUAUACAGGUCCGCUGUGAAAACUGGAGGCUUAACCUCCAGACGUCGGUGGAAACCGCAUAACUAGAGUCCGGAAGAGGAGAGUGGAAUUCCUGGUGUAGCGGUGAAAUGCGCAGAUAUCAGGAAGAACACCCGUGGCGAAGGCGGCUCUCUGGGACGGUACUGACGCUGAGACGCGAAAGCGUGGGGAGCGAACAGG